GAUGAACGCUAGCGGCAGGCUUAACACAUGCAAGUCGAGGGGUAGAAGCAGCUUGCUGCUUUGAGACCGGCGCACGGGUGCGUAACGCGUAUGCAAUCUACCUUUUACAGAGGGAUAGCCCAGAGAAAUUUGGAUUAAUACCUCAUAGUAUGUGAGAAUCGCAUGGUUUUCACAUUAAAGUUCCAACGGUAAAAGAUGAGCAUGCGUCCCAUUAGCUAGAUGGUAAGGUAACGGCUUACCAUGGCGACGAUGGGUAGGGGUCCUGAGAGGGAGAUCCCCACACUGGUACUGAGACACGGACCAGACUCCUACGGGAGGCAGCAGUGAGGAAUAUUGGACAAUAGGGCGGCAAGCCUGAUCCAGCCAUGCCGCGUGCAGGAGUGACGGGUCCUAUGGAUGUAAACUAGCUUUUGUUACAGGAA
rnacentral:rRNA from 1 species